GUGAAUCAUCGAAUCUUUGAACGCAUAUUGCGCCCAAGGCUUCGGCCAAGGGCAUGUCUGCCUCAGCGUCGGGUUAUCCAAUCACUUUGUGCUUAACACACACAAGGUGGACACACAUGACAGUCCUGUCUCUUUCAAUGGAGAGAGGUCUGUUGAAAAGCAUGGAACGCUGUGCCUUUUGCCUUGCAAAAUUGCAGCUGAGUAGGCAUUAUCUUCCAAUCUAACCAUUUGUGGAGAUGUGUUUGCUCGUUAGCCUGUCAACCACUUUGCAUUGUGAAUCACUUUACUGUGUGUGCACAC
rnacentral:misc_RNA from 1 species